rnacentral:tRNA from 1 species
GCUUUCAUAACUCAGUUGGUUAAGCACCCGUUUAGUCAGCGAGAGGUCUUGAGUUCAACUCUCAAUGAAAGUA